rnacentral:rRNA from 1 species
GAGGCGAACCGGGGGAACUGAAACAUCUAAGUACCCCGAGGAAAAGAAAUCAACCGAGAUUCCGAAAGUAGCGGCGAGCGAAAUUGGACUAGCCCUUAAGCUUUACACGCGUUAGACGAACGGUCUGGAAAGUCCGACGAUACAGGGUGAUAGUCCCGUAGUUGACGACGUGUGUUCAGUGAAAUCGAGUAGGGCGGGACACGUGAUAUCCUGUCUGAAUAUGGGGGGAC